rnacentral:lncRNA from 1 species
AAGUGUGAUGGGUUUAUGGUAAGACCUAGGUUUACCGUUGGUUUUAAGGUGUGCAAUGACUACUUCGACUUACGUAUCCCGUAUGCAAUUUCUACUUGAUUUGUCCCGAUUUAAAGUCCACGAUAAGUUCUCGGCUUAUACGACUUGUCUAGUAGGAAUCAAGUAUCUCUCCAAAGACAAUUUCUACGUCGUCUGGAAGUGAUGACCAAAAUUUCAGAUUUCUUUUAUAUCGCUAUUAUCGGAUGUAUGAGUGACAAAUCCUGCAAAAGGAAGGUUUUUUGUGUUUGUUUAAGACGGCUAAUGUAUUCGUCGGGGCCAAUCGAUGAAUUUGUUAGCU